rnacentral:rRNA from 1 species
CCUACGGGUCGCACCAGUGGGGAAUAUUGCACAAUGGGCGCAAGCCUGACGCAGCCAUGCCGCGUGUAUGAAGAAGGCCUUCGGGUUGUAAAGCACUUUCAGCGAGGAGGAAGGUGGUGAGCUUAAUACGCUCAUCAAUUGACGUUACUCGCAGAAGAAGCACCGGCUAACUCCGUGCCAGCAGCCGCGGUAAUACGGAGGGUGCAAGCGUUAAUCGGAAUUACUAGGCGUAAAGCGCACGCAGGCGGUUUGUUAAGUCAGAUGUGAAAUCCCCGGGCUCAUCCUGGGAACUGCAUUUGAAACUGGCAAGCUGGAGUCUCGUAGAGGGGGGUAGAAUUCCAGGUGUAGCGGUGAAAUGCGUAGAGAUCUGGAGGAAUACCGGUGGCGAAGGCGGCCCCCUGGACGAAGACUGACGCUCAGGUGCGAAAGCGUGGGGAGCAAACAGGAUUAGAUACCCGUGUAGUC